AGUGAACGCUGGCGGUAGGCCUAACACAUGCAAGUCGAACGGCAGCACAGUAAGAGCUUGCUCUUACGGGUGGCGAGUGGCGGACGGGUGAGGAAUACAUCGGAAUCUACUUUUUCGUGGGGGAUAACGUAGGGAAACUUACGCUAAUACCGCAUACGACCUACGGGUGAAAGCAGGGGAUCUUCGGACCUUGCGCGAUUGAAUGAGCCGAUGUCGGAUUAGCUAGUUGGCGGGGUAAAGGCCCACCAAGGCGACGAUCCGUAGCUGGUCUGAGAGGAUGAUGAGCCACACUGGAACUGAGACACGGUCCAGACUCCUACGGGAGGCAGCAGUGGGGAAUAUUGGACAAUGGGGGCAAGCCUGAUCCAGCGAUACCGCGUGGGUGAAGAAGGCCUUCGGGUUGGAAAGCCCUUUUGUUGGGAAAGAAAAGCAGCAGGUUAAUACCACGCUGUUCUGACGGUACCCAAAGAAUAAGCACCGGCUAACUUCGUG
rnacentral:rRNA from 1 species